UUGCCCUGGCUACUUAGGAGACAAAAGGUCAUGAGACAGCCUAGCACAGCAGAGGUGCUGGCAGGCCCCUCCUCCAGGCAAGUGCAUCCACUGAAACCUGUGCAGACAGGUGACAUGAUCCCAGGAGCAGUGAAGCAGAGGAAGGAUUUCCUGAGGUCAGGCUGUUGGUAAGGAGCCUGGUAGGUGGGACCAGAGCUCUGAGAUCAUUGAGACCAGACAUGCCUCAAGUCAGUGUUUUUCAACUAAAGAAGUCACAUGGCACAGGUCACAAGAAACAUGCUCUGUACUGCCCUUCUUGAAAACAGGGAAAACACAGUUGAGGAGGAAGCCAUAGAGACCCAAAACCUGGUCUUUUUUGAAGUCUGUGAAUUUCUACAUCCCUUCUGUACUUUUUAAAAGGCUGGAUGAAUUCCCUCUGCGUUGAUGAUUAUUCACACACAGUCUGUCCUCUCAAGAUCUUUCUUCACCCAGGACUUGGCUGACUCAAACAGCAUCGCCGAGCCAGAUGAAUGCUGCUGGGACCGAAGAAGCUCAUGGAAAAGCAGCACUGUCCUCCCACUGAGCCAGACCUGCAGAUACACCUGACCCACUCACAGCUGAGCUAAUUAAAAGUCUAUGGUCUUUCCCA